AUUUUACUUUUUUUGUCAUUCAACAAUUGAAGAACCUUGGACAAGGGGAAAAUGGGGAAGAGUAUUUGGGCUUGCUAGUUUUAAUAGAGAAGGUUUGUAUAGAAAAUAGUAGAGGGCUUGCUAGUUUUAAUAGAGAAGGUUUGUAUUGAAAAUAGUACAGGGCUUGCUAGUUUUAAUAGAGAAGGUUUGGAUAGAAAAUAGUAGAGGGCUUGCUAGUUUUAA